UGGGGAAUAUUGGACAAUGGGCGCAAGCCUGAUCCAGCCAUGCCGCGUGAGUGGAGAAGGCCUUCGGGUUGUAAACUGCUUUUGUACGGAACGAAAAGCCCUUCUCUAAUACAGAGGGGUCAUGACGGUACCGUAAGAAUAAGCACCGGCUAACUACGUGCCAGCAGCCGCGGUAAUACGUAGGGUGCAAGCGUUAAUCGGAAUUACUGGGCGUAAAGCGUGCGCAGGCGGUGAUGUAAGACAGAUGUGAAAUCCCCGGGCUCAACCUGGGAACUGCAUUUGUGACUGCAUCGCUGGAGUGCGGCAGAGGGGGAUGGAAUUCCGCGCGUAGCAGUGAAAUGCGUAGAUAUGCGGAGGAACACCGAUGGCGAAGGCAAUCCCCUGGGCCUGCACUGACGCUCAUGCACGAAAGCGGGGGGAGAAAACA
rnacentral:rRNA from 1 species